rnacentral:lncRNA from 1 species
AAAGAACGAAUGGAUAUGAAGCAGCACAUGAAAGGCCUAAACAUGAAAAGAUGCCAAGGUAUAUCUUUUCUGGAAGUCAGUUUAGGCGGCCUCUCUUGACGAAUAUAUACCGACAGUAUGUGUUCCAAGGUUUUCACAUCUUGGGAUGAUGGUCAGUCCUAGAGUUUGCGCUGCUCUCUUUGCUCUUGCGCUUCUGGUGUCAGCAGUAGCUUCCCAGGAAUGCAGAGAUCUCCCACAAGGCUGCAGGGAUGGUCCUCGCGAAGGUUGCCUUUGCGCGUGCUGUCCGAAUACUCCCCUAUAUGGUGAUGCCUCAGCAGCGUAUUGCGAUCAAGAGGCUGUGGAAGUGUUUAAGGAGUUCUGUAGCAGGGGACGCUGUGCCUGUGUUCCAUAGCUCUUAGAACAAGCUGGACUUGAAUAAAUUUCCUUCGUGAAUAAAUUAUAUAUUGUUCUUAAGAGUAUCUGGCGAUGGAGAUCUAGAUUCGAGCGAUGAGAGUGAGAGGCACUCCUCUGGCUUGUACUGCGCGGAGGUAAGAGUAUCGCUUAGAACCGAGAUUGAGGAAAUCUCAUGAGGAGGAGAAGUCACCUAGAAGAGAAGUGGAAUCAUGAGCAAGCGCCCAAGAUCAUUCCAGUACCAAAGGAGAUCCAACAACAAUAUCACGUCAAGUUGAUCCUGGAGCGCCUUGUAGUCGACGAGUAAUCACUAUGGAUUGAUUGGAAGCUAU